GACGAACGCUGGCGGCGUGCCUAAUACAUGCAAGUAGAACGCUGAAGGAGGAGCUUGCUCUUCUGGAUGAGUUGCGAACGGGUGAGUAACGCGUAGGUAACCUGCCUGGUAGCGGGGGAUAACUAUUGGAAACGAUAGCUAAUACCGCAUAAGAGUAGAUGUUGCAUGACAUUUGCUUAAAAGGUGCAAUUGCAUCACUACCAGAUGGACCUGCGUUGUAUUAGCUAGUUGGUGGGGUAACGGCUCACCAAGGCGACGAUACAUAGCCGACCUGAGAGGGUGAUCGGCCACACUGGGACUGAGACACGGCCCAGACUCCUACGGGAGGCAGCAGUAGGGAAUCUUCGGCAAUGGACGGAAGUCUGACCGAGCAACGCCGCGGGAGUGAAGAAGGUUUUCGGAUCGUAAAGCUCUGUUGUAAGAGAAGAACGAGUGUGAGAGUGGAAAGUUCACACUGUGACGGUAUCUUACCAGAAAGGGACGGCUAACUACGUG
rnacentral:rRNA from 1 species